rnacentral:rRNA from 1 species
CAGCAGCCGCGGGAAUACGUAGGUGGCAAGCGUUGUCCGGAAUUAUUGGGCGUAAAACGCGCGCAGGCGGUUUUUUAAGUCUGAUGUGAAAGCCCCCGGCUUAACCGGGGAGGGUCAUUGGAAACUGGGAGACUUAGAGUGCAGAAGAGGAGAGUGGAAUUCCAUGUGUAGCGGUGAAAUGCGUAGAUAUAUGGAGGAACACCAGUGGCGAAGGCGACUCUCUGGUCUGUAACUGACGCUGAGGCGCGAAAGCGUGGGGAGCAAACAGGAUUAGAUACCCGCGUAGUCCCUGUCUCUUAUA